ACCUUCGGGUCUAGUGGCCCACGGGUGCGUAACGCGUGGGAAUCUGCCCUUGGGUUCGGAAUAACGUCGGGAAACUGACGCUAAUACCGGAUGAUGACGAAAGUCCAAAGAUUUAUCGCCCAGGGAUGAGCCCGCGUAGGAUUAGCUAGUUGGUGAGGUAAAGGCUCACCAAGGCUACGAUCCUUAGCUGGUCUGAGGGGAUGAUCAGCCACACUGGGACUGAGACACGGCCCAGACUCCUACGGGAGGCAGCAGUAGGGAAUAUUGGACAAUGGGGGCAACCCUGAUCCAGCAAUGCCGCGUGAGUGAUGAAGGCCUUAGGGUUGUAAGGCUCUUUUACCCGAGAUGA
rnacentral:rRNA from 1 species